rnacentral:rRNA from 1 species
ACGCUCGACACCUACGGGGGCAGCAGUGGGGAAUAUUGCACAAUGGGGGAAACCCUGAUGCAGCAACGCCGCGUGAAGGAAGACGGUUUUCGGAUUGUAAACUUCUGUUCUUAGUGAAGAUAGUGACGGUAGCUAAGGAGCAAGCCACGGCUAACUACGUGCAAGCAGCCGCGGUAAUCUGAGGCGGGCUGGCAAGGC